AUUGAACGCUGGCGGCACGCUUAACACAUGCAAGUCGAGCGGUAACAUGGGUAGUAGCAAUACUAUCUGAUGACGAGCGGCGGACGGGUGAGUAACACGUAGGAACUUGCCCAGUAGUGGGGGACAACCAAGGGAAACUUUGGCUAAUACCGCAUAUACUCGAGAGAGGAAAGCUGCCAGCAAUGGUGGCGCUAUUGGAGAGGCCUGCGUCCGAUUAGCGAGUUGGUGAGGUAAUAGCUUACCAAGGCGAGGAUCGGUGUCUGGUCUGAGAGGACGACCAGUCACACUGGGACUGAGACACGGCCCAGACUCCUACGGGAGGCAGCAGUGGGGAAUCUUGGACAAUGGGGGCAACCCUGAUCCAGCGAUGCCGCGUGAGUGAAGAAGGCCUUCGGGUCGUAAAGCUCUUUAGGCUGGGAAGAAGGUUAGUAGUUUAAGAGAUAACUAGCUUGACUGUACCAGCAGAAUAAGCGCCGGCAAACUCUGUGCCAGCCGCCGCCGUAA
rnacentral:rRNA from 1 species